rnacentral:lncRNA from 1 species
UAGAGAGAGAAAAUGUCUGGAAGAGGAAAAGGAGGCUAAUGAUUGGGAAAAUGAGGAGCAAAACGACACCGUAAGGUUCUUCCAGACAACAUUCAGGGAAUUACGAAGCCGGCAAUCCGCCGGCUUGCACGACGUGGUGGCGUGAAGCUUUAAUACGGUCUGAUUUAUGAAGAGACACGUGUCGUGUUGAAGAUAUUCUUGGAGAAUGUGAUAAGAGACGCGGUUACGUACACGGAGCAUGCAAGGAGGAAGACUGUUACUGCCAUGGAUGUUUAUGCGUUGAAGAGGCAGGGGCAUACGCUGGCCUGGCAAACACUAAAUAGUUGGUUAGGUUGUGUAGAGGUUUGUUAGUGGUAGUUGUGUAAUUGAAGUUUGUUUGGGAAUCAAGUGAUUUUGAAUGGAUUUUGCUUUAGUUUGGUUU